rnacentral:rRNA from 1 species
GAUGAACGCUGGCGGCGUGCCUAAUACAUGCAGGUCGAGCGAACAGACGAGGAGCUUGCUCCUCUGACGUUAGCGGCGGACGGGUGAGUAACACGUGGAUAACCUACCUAUAAGGCUGGGAUAACUUCGGGAAACCGGAGCUAAUACCGGAUAAUAUAUUGAACCGCAUGGUUCAAUAGUGAAAGACGGUUUUGCUGUCACUUAUAGAUGGAUCCGCGCCGCAUUAGCUAGUUGGUAAGGUAACGGCUUACCAAGGCAACGAUGCGUAGCCGACCUGAGAGGGUGAUCGGCCACACUGGAACUGAGACACGGUCCAGACUCCUACGGGAGGCAGCAGUAGGGAAUCUUCCGCAAUGGGCGAAAGCCUGACGGAGCAACGCCGCGUGAGUGAUGAAGGUCUUCGGAUCGUAAAACUCUGUUAUUAGGGAAGAACAAAUGUGUAAGUAACUAUGCACGUCUUGACGGUACCUAAUCAGAAAGCCACGGCUAACUACGUG